rnacentral:rRNA from 1 species
CGAGUGGCGGACGGGUGAGUAAUGCUUGGGAACUUGCCUUUGCGAGGGGGAUAACAGUUGGAAACGACUGCUAAUACCGCAUAAUGUCUUCGGACCAAACGGGGCUUCGGCUCCGGCGCAAAGAGAGGCCCAAGUGAGAUUAGCUAGUUGGUAAGGUAACGGCUUACCAAGGCGACGAUCUCUAGCUGUUCUGAGAGGAAGAUCAGCCACACUGGGACUGAGACACGGCCCAGACUCCUACGGGAGGCAGCAGUGGGGAAUAUUGCACAAUGGGGGAAACCCUGAUGCAGCCAUGCCGCGUGUGUGAAGAAGGCCUUCGGGUUGUAAAGCACUUUCAGUUGUGAGGAAAAGUUAGUAGUUAAUACCUGCUAGCCGUGACGUUAACAACAGAAGAAGCACCGGCUAACUCCGUGCCAGCAGCCGCGGUAAUACGGAGGGUGCGAGCGUUAAUCGGAAUUACUGGGCGUAAAGCGCACGCAGGCGGUUUGUUAAGCUAGAUGUGAAAGCCCCGGGCUCAACCUGGGAUGGUCAUUUAGAACUGGCAGACUAGAGUCUUGGAGAGGGGAGUGGAAUUCCAGGUGUAGCGGUGAAAUGCGUAGAUAUCUGGAGGAACAUCAGUGGCGAAGGCGACU